rnacentral:rRNA from 1 species
GACGAACCGUCCAAACGUUAUUCGGAAUCACUGGGCUUACAGAGUUCGUAGGCGGUCUGGAAAGUUGGGUGUGAAAUCCCUCGGCUCAACCGAGGAACUGCGCUUGAAACUACCAGACUCGAGGGAGAUAGAGGAAAGCGGAACUGAUGGUGGAGCGGUGAAAUGCGUAGAUAUCAAGAGGAACACCUGCGGCGAAGGCGGGUUGCUGGGCCGACACUGACGCUGAUGCGCGAAAGCUAGGGGAGCGAACGGG